AGUGAACGCUGGCGGUAGGCCUAACACGUGCAAGUCGAACGGCAGCACAGUAAGAGCUUGCUCUUACGGGUGGCGAGUGGCGGACGGGUGAGGAAUACAUCGGAAUCUACUUUUUCGUGGGGGAUAAUGUAGGGAAACUUACGCUAAUACCGCAUACGACCUACGGGUGAAAGCAGGGGAUCUUCGGACCUUGCGCGAUUGAAUGAGCCGAUGUCGGAUUAGCUAGUUGGCGGGGUAAAGGCCCACCAAGGCGACGAUCCGUAGCUGGUCUGAGAGGAUGAUCAGCCACACUGGAACUGAGACACGGUCCAGACUCCUACGGGAGGCGGCAGUGGGGAAUAUUGGACAAUGGGCGCAAGCCUGAUCCAGCCAUACCGCGUGGGUGAAGAAGGCCUUCGGGUUGUAAAGCCCUUUUGUUGGGAAAGAAAAGCAGCAGGUUAAUACCCUGCUGUUCUGACGGUACCCAAAGAAUAAGCACCGGCUAACUUCGUG
rnacentral:rRNA from 1 species